rnacentral:rRNA from 1 species
GACGAACGCUGGCGGCGUGCCUAAUACAUGCAAGUAGGACGCAGUUGCGAACGGGUGAGUAACGCGUAGGUAACUACCUAUUAGAGGGGGAUAACUAUUGGAAACGAUAGCUAAUACCGCAUACUAGUAGAUGGACCUGCGUUGUAUUAGCUAGUAGGUAGGGUAAUGGCCUACCUAGGGAACGAUACAUAGCCGACCUGGGAGGGGGGACGGCCAAACUGGGACUGAGACACGGGCCAGACUCCUACGGGAGGGAGCAGUAGGGAAUCUUCGGCAAUAGGGGGAACCCUGACCGGGCAACGCCGCGUAGGUGGAGAAGGUUUUCGGAUCGUAAAGCUCUGGUGUUAAGGAAGCGGUACUUAACCAGAAAGGGACGGCUAACUACGUGCCAGCAGCCGCGGUAAUUC